CACGGUUCCUCUAGUGGGCCCCACCUAACCUCCCCCCGUCGACCGUUCGGGCCCGGACCAAUCGAGCGCAGCAGCAAAAGCGCAAGAAAAAAGAGAGAGGGAAGGAUUACUCGAGAAGGAAAAAAAAUAAAUAAAAACCGUCUCCUUGCGCCUCCGCCCCCUACUCCGGCGAGCCGAGCCGCCGUCCGCCGCCGCCGCAUCGCGAGUCCUUCCCUCGUCGGGCAGUCGCCUGCCCCAGUUGGUAUCUGUCCUACUGUGUCAUGGGCUUUGGGCCAGGCGUCCUAG
rnacentral:lncRNA from 1 species